rnacentral:rRNA from 1 species
GGCGGACGGGUGAGUAACGCGUAGGAAUCUACCUAAUGGUGGGGGAUAGCCCAGGGAAACUUGGAUUAAUACCGCAUAAGUCCUAAGGGAGAAAGCGGGGGAUCUUCGGACCUCGUGCCAUUAGAUGAGCCUGCGUAAGAUUAGCUAGUUGGUGAGGUAAGAGCUCACCAAGGCGACGAUCUUUAGCUGGUCUGAGAGGAUGAUCAGCCACACUGGGACUGAGACACGGCCCAGACUCCUACGGGAGGCAGCAGUGGGGAAUAUUGGACAAUGGGGGCAACCCUGAUCCAGCCAUGCCGCGUGUGUGAAGAAGGCCUUCGGGUUGUAAAGCACUUUCAGCAGUGAGGAAAGGUUACAGAUUAAUACUCUGUAGCUGUGACGUUAACUGCAGAAGAAGGACCGGCUAACUCCGUGCCAGCAGCCGCGGUAAUACGGAGGGUCCGAGCGCUAAUCGGAAUUACUGGGCGUAAAGCGCGC